UACGUAGGGUGCGAGCGUUAAUCGGAUUUACUGGGCGUAAAGCGUGCGCAGGCGGCCCGUUAAGACAGGUGUGAAAUCCCUGGGCUCAACCUAGGAAUUGCGCUUGUGACUGGCGGGCUCGAGUACGGUAGAGGGGGGUGGAAUUCCUGGUGUAGCAGUGAAAUGCGUAGAGAUGAGGAGGAACACCGAUGGCGAAGGCAGCCCCCUGGGCCUGUACUGACGCUCAUGCACGAAAGCGUGGGGAGCAAACAGG
rnacentral:rRNA from 1 species